GAUGAACGCUAGCGAUAGGCUUAACACAUGCAAGUCGAGGGGCAGCAUGGUCUUAGCUUGCUAAGACUGAUGGCGACCGGCGCACGGGUGCGUAACGCGUAUGCAACUUGCCUCACAGAGGGGGAUAACCCGUCGAAAGACGGACUAAUACCGCGUACACUCCAUCUUGGGCAUCCAAGGUAGAGGAAAUGAAAUUCGCUGUGAGAUAGGCAUGCGUCCCAUUAGCUAGUUGGUGAGGUAACGGCUCACCAAGGCGACGAUGGGUAGGGGAACUGAGAGGUGGAACCCCCACACUGGUACUGAGACACGGACCAGACUACUACGGGAGGCAGCAGUGAGGAAUAUUGGUCAAUGGGCGAGAGCCUGAACCAGCCAAGUCGCGUGAAGGAUGACUGUCUUAUGGAUUGUAAACUUCUUUUAUACGGGAAUAACAAGAGUCACGUGUGACUCCCUGCAUGUACCGUAUGAAUAAGCAUCGGCUAACUCCGUG
rnacentral:rRNA from 1 species